CCAAUAGCGUAUAUUAAAGUUGUUGCAGUUAAAAAGCUCGUAGUUGAAUUUCGGGAUCAGUGGGUCGGUCGUGCCACUGGUAUGCACUGGCCCUACUGGUUCCUCCUUCUUGAAGAACUGUAAUGCCAUUAAUUUGGUGUUGCAGGGAAACAGGACUGUUACUUUGAAAAAAUUAGAGUGUUUAAAGCAGGCAAUCGCUUGAAUACAUUAGCAUGGAAUAAUGAAAUAGGACGUUCGAUCCUAUUUUGUUGGUUUCUAGGAUUGACGUAAUGAUUAAUAGGGAUAGUUGGGGGCAUUAGUAUUCAAUUGUCAGAGGUGAAAUUCUUGGAUUUAUUGAAGACUAACUACUGCGAAAGCAUUUGCCAAGGAUGUUUUCAUUAAUCAAGAACGAAAGUUAGGGGAUCGAAGACGAUCAGAUACCGUCGUAGUCUUAACCAUAAACUAUGCCGACUAGGGAUCGGAUGAUGCUAAUUUUUUAAUGACUCAUUCGGCGCCUUACG
rnacentral:rRNA from 1 species